rnacentral:rRNA from 1 species
UACGUAGGGUGCGAGCGUUAAUCGGAAUUACUGGGCGUAAAGCGUGCGCAGGCGGUUUUGUAAGUCUGAUGUGAAAAUCCCCCGGGCUCAACCUGGGAAUUGCAUUGGAGACUGCAAGGCUAGAAUCUGGCAGAGGGGGGGUAGAAUUCCACGUGUAGCAGUGAAAUGCGUAGAGAUGUGGAGGAACACCGAUGGCGAAGGCAAUCCCCUGGGCCUGCACUGACGCUCAUGCACGAAAGCGUGGGGAGCAAACAGG